rnacentral:lncRNA from 1 species
UUCCUGUGCUGGUUGAGAUGUUAGCUGCCCUAUUUCCCUUUCCUGUAAUCUGACUGUAGUAAGGGUAGAUUGUAUGCAGUGAUAAAAAGGGCCCUAUCUUCUCUCGCGGUAAAUUUUUUGCAUAUGUACUUUUUCAAAUUUUUGUUUACAGAAGCUUGCAGAAUCUUCAUGUGGCUUAUGUAAAAACAACAACACUUCUGCUGGGACAGUUGUCCAGGUUGACUCACCUCCAUCCUUAGUAUGUGAGUUUAGAAGUGCUCACAGACCCGCCGGUGUGCUCCUACAGACCCCACAGCCUAAACAGCAGAGCUGAGCAGGUGCCAGAUUUCCUCCGUGGUUGAAGUGCUUCAGCAUACCUCUGCUGCACCAGGAAGAGCUGCGUGCUCCAACUGCUGGCCUUCAGCUGGGGGA